rnacentral:rRNA from 1 species
CCUACGGGAGGCAGCAGUAGGGAAUCUUCCACAAUGGGCGAAAGCCUGAUGGAGCAACGCCGCGUGGGUGAAGAAGGUCUUCGGAUCGUAAAACCCUGUUGUUCGAGGAGAAAGUGCGUGAGAGUAACUGUUCACGUUUCGACGGUAGCUAACCAGAAAGCCACGGCUAACUUCGUGCCAGCGGCCUCGGGCAUACGUAGGUGGCAAGCGUUAUCCGGAUUUAUUUGGCGUAAAGGGAACGCGGGGGGUCUUGUAAGUGUGAUGGGAAAGCCGUGGGCCUCAACGGCGUAGUGCAUUGGAAACUGGGAGACUUGAGUGCAGAAGAGGAGAGCGGAACGCCAUGUGUAGCGGUGAAAUGCGUAGAUAUAUGGAAGAACACCAGUGGCGAAGGCGGCUCUCUGGUCUGUAACUGACGCUGAGGUACGAAAGCGUGGGUAUCAAACAGGAUUAGAUACCCCUGUAGUC